rnacentral:tRNA from 1 species
GGCGGAUGUAGCCAAGUGGAUCAAGGCAGUGGAUUGUGAAUCCACCAUGCGCGGGUUCAAUUCCCGUCG